GUGAACUCUGGGAGUGGUGAUGGACAGGGAGGCCCGGCAUGCUGCAGUUCAUGGGGUUGCAAAGAGUCGGACACGACUGAGCGACUGAACUGAACUGAACUGAACUGAACUUUGUGUGUUUUGCUACAUCCGGUAACUAGCUUAAUUUCAGCACAGGACAUCAUAAAGCAUCCACAUAAGGCAACAGUAAAAUUCUAGUUGCCCAACAUCCCCUUCAGAAAUCAGCCAAAAAUUUCUCCUUCAAACACUGGCUACCAAUGUUAGUGUCUUAUGUACAUUGGCUCUGCUAAUUACACCAGAAUCAAUAGUUAGGUAUAAAGGUCAUGGGGUGGCCUUUAGAUUUUGAGAUACCCAGACAUGGAAAUGUUUUCAGAAUAGAUAGCAACUAGCCUAAUCAUCUAUCUUCAGAAAAUACUAAUUAUGAAUCACAUGAAGAGAGAAAAAUACAUGCAAAAACAGAAGUAGGACCAGAGGAAGUAAAGGGAGAAGAUGCUAAACUGGAGUCUCUAAAGGGAGAGCCAUGAAGGUCCAGAUGACAGGGUGUACCCCAAAGCCUUCUGCCUCCAGCCCAGCUGACCCUCAUCCACCAGACGGUCUAAGCUGUCUGCCUUUUUUGCUGUCCUCUUUCUAAUCUAUGAUUAAGGCUUGAAUCUCGGCCCUGCUUCCCUUGAGGCCUUCUCUUUUACAUAAAGCAUGUUUGGAAAUCACCAAAACUUGAAAAAUGGCUAUGUCCCUGCAUUUUAAUGUCUAUGUCCUAAUCCCCCUGCUCUGACUUUGUUUUCUUUUGUUCUGUUUUUGACUGCUUGACUGUGGGAUCUUAGUUCCCCAACCAGGGAUUGAACCCAGGCUGUAUGGCAGUAAAAGUUUGGAGUUCUAACCCCUGGACUGCCAGGGAAUUCCAAGUUCUGCUGUGACUUUGAAAAUACAAAUACAUGGGCUUGAGACCUCCCAGUCCACCCCUAUGUGACUGAGACCUCUAAGUCCACCCCUAUGUGGUCAAUAACUUCUGUUUAGUGCACAUUGUGUCCAUGGCCCUAUGCCUGGCCUUCCAGAGCUGUAAAAGUGGAUGAGAUUGUUCUUUCAAAAAGCUGGACCUAAGAGGACUAGAAGGGUAGACAUUGGAAGGGAGAAAGAAAGGAGGCUUGUCAACAUGAGAUUGUGGGGUGAGAUGAGGGGAUUUUAAAACACACACCCAUAUGGCUGCAAUCUUACGAGUUCCUGGGAAACAAAUAAUGUGUUGGGAAAAGGGGAGCUUGUGGGCUCCAGUUAUUGGGAAACAUAUGAAAGUCCCACUGUGGGAACUGUCAAAGAAGAAUUCCACACAUUCUCUUUUUUAAAAAAUUGGGAGUCUUUUAAAAGCAGGUUUGAGUACUCAAGCCUUCAAGUUCCCGUUAACUUCUGACAUAAAAUGUAAAUAGAGUUUGAGUCAUAUCUUUAAAAAGAAUGACUGUAGUUACAAUUCUCCCCUUCCUCAUGAGCUUUGUCUUAACUAACCUUGACUUCCUGCCCCCCUGUUAGAAUUACGACUGCUUCUGGGCCAGAGAGUGAAGGAGAGGAAGGGAAGAAAAUAAGAAAGGAACAAGGAUUAAGAGGACCUGCCAUGUGCCAGAGAAGAAAAUGGAGUCACAGAGAGGAAGUAAUAUGUCUAAAGUUACACAACUCAUAGUAGAACCAGCAUGUGAACAGAAAGAUCUGACCCAAGUCCAUGCUCCUGACCGUGAUGCCACCAGUUGUGUGUCCACUUUUCUGUGACACAUUUAUUAUUUGCCUAUGGUCUUCAGUCUUCUUUUGGUCAUUGAAUGGUACACAUCAAAUUCUUUGGAGGCCAAGUAGGUAACUUGCCCUGCCGUCUGGAAUUCCCAAACUUGUGAAAGAGAUCAGGAGGAUGUGUGACUACCAAACUGAAGAGAAGUACCAUGUUCGCCAAGACGUAAACACUUGAGUAUUUCUGAAUAGAAGUGAAGUCAGUUAGAGCAGCUUAUGUAGAUUGGCAUCCCCAGCCCCACUGUACUCCUAGAAGCUUGCCAGCCUAGAAAAUAGGCUCUCUAGCCUUUGCCUGUGUCCACCAUGGGUUCUCAUGACACCAUCAUUUUUUUAAAUAUAGCUCCUAACCAAUGCUGGUAGCUUUUAUCAUUGAUGAAAUUUAAUUUUAUUAGGUAGCAAUAGCCUACAAAAUCAAGAAACUGGGAAGAAUGAAGUGUGAGCAGUAAGACACUAAUAGUCUAUUCCCCUCCCCUAUCCUUACUUCUCCUGAACACAUGCAGACACCCACAGUCAAAAACAACAACAAAAAAAAAUCAAGGGGAUCUCCAGAUAACUCACUUAUUGAUUCCACAGUGGAGCAUCUUUAUUUGCCUAAUCCUUUACACACUGGUCUGUAUGCUUUAUGCUUCUGUGUCUGUAUCCAUAUUUUUCUUUAAACUUUUAAAAAUAGUCACCAGCAUGUGAACUAUUUCACCUUACUCAUUCUUACAUUAAAUAAAUAGAUAGGUAAAUACAUAAAUAAGUAAAAUGAAGAGUAUAAAAACAGAAAUCUUGUCUAGAAAGCAAACUAAACUAUGAUUGAGUAUUUGUGUGAGCUCAGUUGCUCAGUCGUGUCUGCCUCUUUGCGACCCUAUGGACUUUAGCCCGCCAGCCUCCUCUGUCCUUGGGAUUCUCUGGGCAAGAAUAC